rnacentral:lncRNA from 1 species
CGGAGGACGUGGGCAGUUCUAGUUCUAUUUCACCUCAUAAGUGCUUGCUCAGUCCGUGCAAAAUUAUUACCCCGGAAUUGCUCUCCAAGGACGGUGUUUUUGACUGUGACUACUUACUGCUUCAGAGGACCGAAAUGACUGGAAAGAGAACACUCUUUCUUUACCAUAUAUUCGUCUUCAUAUAAGAAACUAUUGGGGAAUCAAGAUGGCGCCGACAGAUAUGGCAGCUAUGCUUCUAGCUCCUUAGCAACUUUGCAGUAUUUCUUUUUUGUGAAGUACUGUGACGGCCCACUGAUCUCGACAAGAGGUGCAACAUUCAGAGAAAUUCACUAUUCAGGGGGAAAGAUGGCCAGCCACACGGAGGGUGAUUUUUACUAAGGAGGAGAAGGAGGCCAUGC